rnacentral:rRNA from 1 species
AUUGAACGCUGGCGGCAGGCCUAACACAUGCAAGUCGAGCGGAUGAAGGGAGCUUGCUCCUGGAUUCAGCGGCGGACGGGUGAGUAAUGCCUAGGAAUCUGCCUGGUAGUGGGGGAUAACGUCCGGAAACGGGCGCUAAUACCGCAUACGUCCUGAGGGAGAGAGUGGGGGAUCUUCGGACCUCACGCUAUCAGAUGAGCCUAGGUCGGAUUAGCUAGUUGGUGGGGUAAAGGCCUACCAAGGCGACGAUCCGUUACUGGUCUGAGAGGAUGAUCAGUCACACUGGAACUGAGACACGGUCCAGACUCCUACGGGAGGCAGCAGUGGGGAAUAUUGGACAAUGGGCGAAAGCCUGAUCCAGCCAUGCCGCGUGUGUGAAGAAGGUCUUCGGAUUGUAAAGCACUUUAAGUUGGGAGGAAGGGCAGUAAGUUAAUACCUUGCUGUUUUGACGUUACCAACAGAAUAAGCACCGGCUAACUUCGUG